UAGGGAAUCUUCCGCAAUGGACGCAAGUCUGACGGAGCAACGCCGCGUGAGUGAAGAAGGAUUUCGGAUCGUAAAGCUCUGUUGUUAAGGAAGAACGAGUGUGAGAAUGGAAAGUUCAUACUGUGACGGUACUUAACCAGAAAGGGACGGCUAACUACGUGCCAGCAGCCGCGGUAAUACGUAGGUCCCGAGCGUUGUCCGGAUUUAUUGGGCGUAAAGCGAGCGCAGGCGGUUAGAUAAGUCUGAAGUUAAAGGCAGUGGCUCAACCAUUGUAGGCUUUGGAAACUGUUUGACUUGAGUGCAGAAGGGGAGAGUGGAAUUCCAUGUGUAGCGGUGAAAUGCGUAGAUAUAUGGAGGAACACCGGUGGCGAAAGCCGCUCUCUGGUCUGUACCUGACGCUGAGGCUCGAAAGCGUGGGGAGCGAACAGG
rnacentral:rRNA from 1 species